GAGAGUAUCAGACAAACAGUAUCAUACAACAUGCAACUUUUGAGACUGGCUUCUUUCACACAGCCUUAUGCGUUUGAAACUCAUCCAAGUUGAGUCCAUCCAUAGUUCAUUCCUUUUCAUUGCUACAGCAUCACUUCGUUGUGUUGUCGGACCUCCAUUUAUUCAUCCACUCAGCCACUCAAGGACAUUUGGAUUGUUUCUGGCUUUUGGCAAUUAUGAAAGAACAGCUAUAAACAUUUAGCUAAAGGUAUUUAAAGUGGCUGUGAGAUUUUGCAUCGCCGUCAGUGAUGUUGGAGAUUUCCAGUUACUUCAUAUCCUUUUAGCACUUGGUGUUUUAGCCAUUUUAAUUGGUGCGACUCUCACUGUGGCUUUAAUACGCAUUUCUCCAAUGGUUGGUAUUGUUGAACAUGUUUUCUGUGUGUUUAUUGGCCAUCCUUAUGCCCCCUUUGAUGAAGUAGAGAGACAGAGCAUGAAUGGAGGAGGGUCGGAGAGCGAAGGAGACACAGAAUCUGAAACAGGCUCCAGGCUCUGAGCUGUCAGCACAGAGCCCGAUGCGGGGCUCGAACUCACGGACCGUGAGAUCAUGACCUGAGCUGAAGUUGGACGCUUACCGACUGAGCCACCUAGGCGCCCCAGUUUUUGUCUAUUUUUAAACUGGAUUAUUUUCUUAAUGUAGAGAUAUGAAUUUUAUUUACUUAUUUAUUUUUUUGGUAUAGUCUGAACACAAGUUGUUUGUACAAAUGAAUAUUUUCUCCUAGUCUGUAACUUGCCUUUUCAAUCUCUUAACAAUGUCUUUCCCAGUUCAAAUGUUUUAGAAUUUUAAUACUAUUUAAGUAAUCAAGAUUUUCAUUUUAAAGAUUGUGCUUUUGGUACCAUGUGUACUCUAAGUCACAAAGAUUUGCUCUAUUAUUUUCUUGUAAAACUUUAUAGUUUUAUGUUUUUUUAUUAAAAAUUUUUUUUUUUAAUUUUUAUUUAUUUUUGAGAGAGAGACAGAAUGUGAGCAGGAGAGGAACAGAGAGAGGGAGACACAGAAUCCGAAGCAGGCUCCAGGCUCUGAGCCAUCAGCACAGAGCCCGAUGCAGGGCUCAAACUCAUGAACCGUGAGAUCAUGACCUGAACUGAAGUCGGAGGCUUAACCGACUGAGCCCCCCAGGCAUUGGUUCAUUUACCUGGGUUGUUGAAUUUCUGUGUGUAGAGUUAUCAGGACAUUCCCUCCUCCUCCUGGUAAGGUACCUCAUGGAGGGAAGAUCACACAAUAUUUAUGGUCUUCUUGGUCUGGGGCUGCCUUGAGCCUAGGCCCGGGCACAGCCGAGGAAAAAUGGGAAACUCGUCACUCGUUUGGAGUAGAAGAGUCAGGAUGGAUGUGCUCAUUCUGUCUUGCCUGGAACUAAACCUCUUCCCUUCGACAUGAUUGUUCUAUCACAGCUUGUUGAGAAAACUGCAUGGUGGAAAAUGUUUGCCAGAAAACACGUAUGGGGGCACCCGGGUGGCUCCAUCGGUGGAGACACGAACUCUGGAUUUUGGCUCAGAUCCUGGCUGUGGCUCCUCCACUGGACUCAGGAAAGUCUCAAGUUCCAGACCUUUGGUGUUCAAGAACCUCAUGGUCCAACACUGCUCACCUCACCAGAAUCCUCUCUUGCUACCUCCCCCCUUCCCAGACUUCUGCCUUGUCAGAGGAUAUACAUCCAGAGUGCCUAUGAAUUCUCUGGAAUGCUUAUUUAAAAUACAAAGUCGUAGGCUCCAGAUUCUGAGGUAGUAGAUAAGCCUCAGGGCUCUGGAAGCUGCAUUGCAACAAGCUGGGCAACUCAUAUGGAGGGGACUUAUGGACCCCACCUGAGAAAUCCUGCUGAUCAGGUUCAACGCUAGGCUAUUUCUUAAAGCUUCGUGCUGUUUAGUCGCUAGCAUUUCCAUGUGCUGCAUUCACUACCUGGAGUACCCUUCCCAUUUUUCAUCUUCUGCCUUCCUUGCUUCCAACCCUGCGUGGUUCUUCAUCCUUCCCUUCCAGGAUGCAGCUUUCAGAUGGUGUCUUCUGAGAAACCCUCACCACCCUUUCAAAGCUAAGCGGGUGAACCCCCCUUCUUUGUACAUGCUAAGGAAUUUAUUACACCAUCACUGCCUGGUCACUGGUUUCUCCUAUAUAAGCGGAUGAGCUCCUUACGGGCUUGCCUCUGAUUGGUGAAAUCUUCCGAACUUGACAUUUUCAAAAGAAUGACAGCGCUGUACGGAGGCCAUUAAAUAAGUCCUAUCCCCUGGCAGCACAAAAUACCACAGAAAUGGCAUGGCGACCUCCUUCCAUCUUUCUGUUCAACAUAAUACCAAGAGUGAAUUUCUUUUAGCCUUAGUUAUAUAGCACGUUGGCUUUGCUUAGAGAGAAGCAUGGAAACACCUCCCAAUAAGUUCAGUAUUGAGCCCAGAAUUAGCUAACUUUCUUUCUGUCUUUCAUUCAUUUGAUUUUUAAGUAAUCUCUACACCCAACAUGGGACACAAACUCAUGGCUCCAAGAUCAAGAGUCGCAUGGUCUACCAACUGAGCCAGCCAGAGUGCCCUUCAGAAUGAACUAACUUUCAACAAAACAUUUCAGGGGAGGAUAAUUAACCUCACUGAAGUGGAUGAUGAGUGUUUUUGUAAAUAUAUUUUAAAAAUUGAAGUCUUAUUUUUAAUAAGACCCAUGGUAGUAAAUCUCUAUGAAAAGAAGAUCUUAAAUUGUGUAGGGUAUUUGUGUUCGUUUGCAGGUUUCCAUUGGAAGAGGGGAACAUUUCUGACAACAGCUAGAGCUAUUGGCAAUAGCAGGAAGAAGAUUAUUAGUUUUUGAGCUUUCAGGCAAGAAAAUUGAUGAAUUAAAAGGCCUAACGCAUCACUGUAAGCAAACCAGAUUUAGGUGAACAAUUAUCAUAGAAUGGGCCGGACUGUCAUCCGUGCUUCUGGGUGUCCAGGGCAGAAAUAAUUUUCCCUCAAGCUUAAUUUUGAAUUGUUUAAAAAAAUUUUUCCCCCAUAAAACAGGAAACAAUUGUGUGACUCAAUUCCAACAUUCUUGUAUUUAUUCCCACUCCUGCCUGGCGGUGUGUCAGGUUUGUGCAAAUCAGCGAUGAUCUUGGGUCACGUUAACUGAGGUGUUCUAAGGAGUUUGGAAAUCAGAGAGUCUUCACUUGGUAUUCUCCCCUAGGGUGUGUGAAGCUUAUUGCUUUGACCAUGCUACUGUUAGGUGGGAGAGAACUUUAAAUGUGGCAUAGAUUGGGUUUUAAUGAGAAAAACAAAAUCAAAGAAAAGGGAGUGACUGAAGGCACCGUCGGCAUUUUAUGGGAUAUGUUCCCUGGUCUCACUUGAGUUCAUUUACUGCACCAAAUGCACCACAUCUCAGACAUAUUUUGUUCAAAUAUAAUUGUUGAAGUAUUUUUUUAAAGUCUUUUUUUUUUUUUUUACUGAUUUUGAGAGAGAGAAAGAGAGAACGGGGGAGGGGCAGAGAGAGAGAGAGAGAGAGAGAGAGAGAGAAUCCCAAGCAGGCUCUGCACUGUCAGCACAUAGCCUGACGCUGUGGCCUGACACGGGGCUCGAACACACAAACCAUGAGAUCAUGACCUGAGCCAAAAUCAAGAGUCGGAUGCUUAGCCGACUGAGCCACCCAGGUGCCCUGUGAAGUGUGUUGUAACUGAUGGCCCCAUCCUGGGGACUUCUUCCAAAGCAUUCUGUUUUGAUUUCCCCAAUAUAAUCGUCGAGACUUAACAUCCUUCUCUAUAGUCUUUGUAGAGACACUAUAUUUUUGUGGGGAUCUUUUUUUUGUCAGAUAAAUACACAGGAAGUGUUUACCAUUAUAUCUGAUAGCUGUACCAUGCCAUUAGAAAAAUAUAUGCACAGUACAUGCUGAUGACUAAUCAGUACCCAUACAAGCCCCAGAGCAAGGCUGACAAGUAACUUCGUAAGUCGGACGUCUCUCAGCUGUCCUUUAGACACUGUGUUUCCACCUUUAGUCAUCCCAUUCCUUCCUUGUGUCCAAGAGACCAGAGUUCCAAUGCCAAAGUCAGUGGUCCUGAGCCUGGAACCUGAAAUUAAGUUUGCCUCUUGGUGGAGAUCAAGGCAAAAGAGUGGGAAAAGGAAGGGUUUUACUUGCAACCAGUAAGGGGAAACCAGGAUAUUUCUCACAGCAGUGCCCGCCCCUUCCUCAACAACAACGUUGGGGAGGUUUUAAGCUGAGGGGGCAUGCACAUUCAUGGACGGUCUUGGCAAAGGAGAGCUCCGUGUAGUAUUGGGGCCAGAGUCAUCCUGGGUGGACAGAAUCCGGGUCCUGGUUGAUUGAAGUCAUGGGGGCCAGCAAGGGUCUGCAUCAAGGGUUCUCUGGAUCCAGUUAGUCCAGGGUUUGAUUUCUCAGAGGGGCUUCAAUCCUGCAAAAGUGACUUAAGACUGUGCCCUAGGUCAUUACUUUUGAAAUAGCACUGGGAGUGUUACCAUUGCUUUAUUGUCUCUGAUAGCGUUAGGCUAUUUUUAGGCCUGGUAGAGGCUGUUAGAUUUUGCAUUCUGUUUAUUUCCUAAAAUAUUGAACUAUCGUGGUCUAUUUUUCUGCAAUUUGAACAUAUCCCAGGCAGUUCUGCAAGAAAUUGGCUUGGGCAAGUAAUGCCGGUCAGGCAUGGGUCACAAAAUGGCUGGGGGGGGGGGGGGGGGCGCCUAAAAUGAUAUUCCUUAUGUUAAGAAAGCUAUGUCUCAUCUUUCUUUUUCCGGGGGACCCCUAACUUAUCUGUCUAUAAGCCCAUCACCAUGGUAACCCUUCUGGGGCUGCUCUUUCCCUCAGCACCCAGUUGCUUCAACAUACCCUCUCUCUCCCUUUGGCUUCCCAUUUCUUCAACAAGAAGGUACAGGAAAAGGUGUUUGAAUUUGUGGCCUACAUGAUGCUGCUUCCUACUUCUGUAGCUGUUGGCCUCAUGGAUCCAAGGACAGAGAUUUGUUGAUCGUUCAGGGGGAGGAGUCUACUCUAUUUCCUCAUGUUUUUAAAAAGAGGGCUAGGAGUACCAGGCACGCGAACAUUCAGCUGCCAUGGUAAAACAUCUAACUUUGUUCAUGCAGAGAUAGUUCCAUAAAUGAAAGAUGAUUAAAGUUCUCAGAAAAAGUGCAUCAACUCUCUCCAACCUUCAAAUUAGCUUAUCUACAUUUUGGCACAGAUAUCUUGAUCUAGGGAUCAGAAAGAACCCUGGAUGUAGUUACCUAGCAACAAGCUUUAAAUGAUAAUGAGGUUAAGUAAGUUUGCCCAGGAUCCAAACUGAAUGAGGAACAGACACCUGGCCAAGGUACAGCAAAAUCCAUUAACUUGAAAAGUCCCAGGAGUCAAGGUUGCCUUCUUAGGUAUAAACAAAUAUAAUACUUCAAAGAAGGUAAAUUGUGUUGAUGUUUUGAGCUUUUAUUGCAUUUGAAAUUGUCCCUGUGAUUGUUUUCCUUUUUCUCAUUUUGUUUCUCUUUUUGUUUCUCUCUUUGUUUCUCUUUUUUCUCAUUCUGCCUGUCCUCGCCCCGUCCUUCCUCUUCAAACACAUCCAGCCCCCCACUGAGUCUUGCCAGCCGUCCCUCCUCACACCUGUGACGUCAGGUGCCCUUCCAUACUUGUUCUCACCCCCUCCAGUUUACGUUGCUAUGGCGUCCCCUUGACGACACUCUUCUCUGUAUCUUCCGAAACCAGUCCACAGAGACAAAGUGCAAACUUUUAUAAUUAAUUUGGCUUAGACUUUUCUGUUCCUCUUUCUAGUCCUCCAUGGCACUGGAAUUUGUUGCGGAGCAUAAUGCUUAGAUUAUUAAAGUUAAUAGUUAAGACAAUUGUGCAACCAGGGGCUCAAAUGGGACUGAGUGGGAAGGAUCCAUUUCCGUUCAUAAUCAUGUGUGUUCCCCCUGUGACCUGAACAGGUGUUUCCUGGGAAUUGUUGAGAAAGGAUGCUCCCUUCUCCUCACCCACCUCUCUUCUGAGUUGAGUGCCCACGUGUGUCCGGACAGACGUGCACAAAUGGCUUGCAGCCUGCCUUUUUCUCUGGGUCAUUCUCAGCACCAGAACGGGCAACUGUGCCUUGUGAGAGACUAUGAGGGAACACGGCCGCUGAUCCUUUCUCAAGAUGCAAAAUUGGGAGUCCGUGUUAUCUGCUCAUUUUCUUUGCUCUGCUAAUGGAGGGAUCUAACCCUGGUGAUAACAUAGAUGGACCUGAAGGGCAUUAUACUAAGUGAAACAAAUCAGAGAAAGACAACUACUGUAUGAUCUCACUCAUAGGUGGAAUCUACAACAAAACAAAACAAAACAAAACAAAACAGCCAGCAAACUCAUAGAAAAAGAGUUUAGGUUUGUGGCUACCAGAGGCAGGGUGUUGAGGAAGAGGGAAUUGGCAGAAGGUGGUCAAAAGGCACAAACUUCCAGUCAUAAGAUAAAUAAGUACUACGGAUGUCAUGGACAAUAUGAUGCGUUAUGGCUAAUGCUGGUCUAUCAUAUAUAGGAAAGUUGUUAAGAGGGCAGAUCCUAAGAGUUCUCAUCACAAGGAGGAUUUUCCUUUUUCUUUCCUUUUUAUCGUAUCUACACAAGAUGAUGGUCGCUAACUAAACCUAUUGUGGUCAUUUCACAUUGUAUGUGUAUCAAAUCAUCACGUUGUGCACCUUAAACCUUAUACAGUAAUAUAUGUCAAUUAUUUCUCAAUAAAACUGGGAAAAAAGAAAAA